AGAGGGAGGCUAUUGGGCAGGAGA
rnacentral:miRNA from 1 species